CACGUAAAACUCACAAAUCGAAGCCCUUAAUCUGCUCUAAAUCGACUUUCAAACACGGAUUAGUGAUCACCUUGUUGCGGGGAUCAAAAGUUUGACGCUUGACAAGCUAGGUGGGAGCUUGUGGAUGAAGCGGGUCAAACGAAUCAAGAACGGAAGGAAAAGCAUGGCAUGGAUGCGAGGUACUUUUGGACGCCGGAAGACGAUCAAGCUCAACGAGGAACCGAACACGAUAAAGAUACACGCUUCCGCACUUUGCGCCGUCAUUAAUUUUAAACGACGAAUCUGAUCACGUUAUGUCA